rfam:Kluyvera intermedia strain CAV1151, complete genome.
GCAAUAGGGAAGUAUACGUAACAUCUGAAAAUAACACUGAGGUAUUAACUGGAUAUUCUGUUUUUUCAGAAUAACCUCAUAAUGAAGAAUUAUGUCGACGACGGAACAACAAGAAUUAUCCGAUAAUAAAAUGCCGACGUUAUGUCGGCAUUUUAAUUUACC